UACGUAGGGGGCGAGCGUUGUCCGGAAUUACUGGGCGUAAAGGGCGCGUAGGCGGUUUGUUAAGUUAGAUGUGAAAUCCCCGGGCUUAACCUGGGUGUUGCAUUUAAAACUGGCAGACUUGAGUGCAGGAGAGGAAAGCGGAAUUCCUAGUGUAGCGGUGAAAUGCGUAGAUAUUAGGAGGAACACCAGUGGCGAAGGCGGCUUUCUGGACUGUAACUGACGCUGAUGCGCGAGAGCGUGGGGAGCAAAC
rnacentral:rRNA from 1 species